rnacentral:lncRNA from 1 species
UGGCGCCGGCGGGAAGAUCUGGAGGCGCUAGCCCGGAGCGCGAAGGGUACCGCGCGCGAGGAGCGGCCUUGUGCUCAGGUUAGGGCAUUUUUUUGAGCGUCGGGAUCAGAAACGCUCGCUCCAGACUUUUAAAAAAGCUUCAAGGGACAUAUUACCAUCACUGGACGCCUGAUUCACUGAAGAAAACUGGCAGUGAGAGGUACUCUGAAGGGGUGCAGGAUGUUACCAAGAAUCUCAGCACUUAUUGAUCCACACUUUCCUUAGUUCUCAAUGUGCUGUUGGUCACUUUCAAGAUGCCUUUGUACUUCUGGUAAAUUCAAACUGGCAACUCUUAAGGCCACGCUGGACAGAAAAUCAGAAGGAAGAUCAUUGGUGCUGGAAGCCUAGAAGAUCACUUAGAGGAAA